UACGGAGGAUCCGAGCGUUAUCCGGAUUUAUUGGGUUUAAAGGGUGCGUAGGCGGACCCGUAAGUCAGUGGUGAAAGUUUGCAGCUUAACUGUAAAAUUGCCAUUGAAACUAUGGGUCUUGAGUGUAAAUGAGGUAGGCGGAAUGUGUUGUGUAGCGGUGAAAUGCUUAGAUAUAACACAGAACACCAAUUGCGAAGGCAGCUUACUGGGAUACAACUGACGCUGAGGCACGAAAGCGUGGGGAUCAAACAGG
rnacentral:rRNA from 1 species